UACAGAGGGUGCAAGCGUUGUUCGGAAUUAUUGGGCGCAAAGCGCGUGUAGGCGGCUUUGCAAGUCAGGUGUGAAAUCCCUCAGCUUAACUGAGGAAGUGCGCCCGAAACUGCAGAGCUUGAGUACCGGAGAGGGUGGCGGAAUUCCCCAAGUAGAGGUGAAAUUCGUAGAUAUGGGGAGGAACACCGGUGGCGAAGGCGGCCACCUGGACGGAUACUGACGCUGAGACGCGAAAGCGUGGGGAGCAAACAGG
rnacentral:rRNA from 1 species